rnacentral:lncRNA from 10 species
CAUAAGUUCAAUAAAUAUUUGCUUUUUUCAUUGCAGAACAAUUGGAAACACAGGUUACAUUACCAACAUUUUGACUGGGAUGUCAUAUUUUCAAGUAUAACCAUACUGCUUUAAGGAAUUAAGGCCAACUUUAAAGAGCCAUUGAAGCUCUUAGAAGAACCCUCCUGAGACCUUGUUUCCACGAUUCCCUUUCAAGGUUUCUAGCCUUGGGGGGACUAGUCAUGUGUGCUGCAUUUCCUAGGCCUCUGUUUUACUGGCUUCUGGUCGGGUUCAAUCAAUGAAAUACAGGAGGAAUGAAGAAAUCAGCGUAUGAGUCUCCUAUCCCCAUGCCUCUAGUCGAAUCCGACCGUGGCUGUGUCUUCUUUGCGGCUCUAGUUUCUUCUAGGUGACCUGGCCCAUGUCUGGGAUCUGCUAACAUUGCCUCCUGCUUUGUCCCUCAAGCCUAAGGAAGGCUGUGAAUGUCCACUGUCUGUAAUGCCUGUGUUGCCUUUCACCCUUGUUUGGUUCUCAUUUCUUCCAUUAUUUAUGCAACUGAUUUUCUCCAUUUAAGUCCCCCAGUUUAAAUACUUACAGUGAUUUCUGUUUCCUUGGAAAACCGAAUAGAUUAGGACAUUUUCAGGCAUUCAUGGAAUCAGGUGGCUUAUCUCUAGCAUAAUCCUUAGGAAGUGCCAUGAUGAUAUGUUCUAGAAAAAUUAGGAAGGAAUUCCAAAAAGAGGAUGAACCCCAUUCAAGAGGGCAAGAGGGCACAGUGGGUCCAAUCUAAGAGGGCAGUGAGGGGAAAUCCAGGCAAGAGCCAUGGAUUUAGCCUGGAGCACAGUUUAUCUUGAAAUAGCGGUACAGGAGGCUCAAAAAAGGCCAUUUGAAACCUCCCCCAAAAUAAAAGUCACGUGAGACCACAAGUCACUGUAACCCAAACUGAAACAAAAUAAAAUAUGCAAUGAUUUUAACACAAUUGGUAGAGUGUAAGAUAACCCAUUUCACCUUGAUACAGGGAUCACGCUCCUCUCUGUGGCCCACGGAUUGGCACUGAACUUGCAAAAAGGGAAAUAUAAUCUUAGCAUUACAUUUGGCUUUGCAGUAAAAAAUAUUUAGAGUCAUAUUAAUGUAAAUACUGCUUAUUGGCUUUUAGCUCUUAAAGUCAACCUAAGUAGAAAGAGUGGAAGGCUUGGUCGUAGUUACAGCUGAGAAUAUAAACGUUAACAACCUUAGUACUGUAAAAUGAAAGUGAAGUUGCAGAAGGUCAAGGGAGGAGAGUUGAGAGGGAGGGAAUGAGUAUCAAUAUUCCCAUUUUGUGAAGGGAAGAAUGAACCCACUAAAGUUGAUGAACAAAUAGAGGACUACUACAUUACUUAAAACUAUUAAGGUAGCCUGUAGUGAAAUUAAAAACAGUAUUAUAAUUGCAAACAUUGGGGAAUGGGAGCAGAAAAUGUGCAUUCAAUAGAUAUUGCCUCUAAUUCUUAGAUCUUCUACAGGCUGUCUCUGGGGCAAGGAAGGUGGGAGACAUGGUGAGGGAGGGAGGGCAGGGAGGGUGAGGUAGUCUAUGUUUCUUUCCAGUGUAAACUUUCUUUUUUAUCCUUUUCUCUCUUUCUUUCUUUUUUUGAGAUAGAGUUUCACUCUUGUUGCCCAGGCUGGAGUGAAGUGGCAGGAUUUUGGCUCACUGAAACCUCUGCCUCCUGGGUUCAAGUGAUUCUCCUGCCUCAGCCUCCCGAGUAGCUGGGAUUACAGGCAUGUGCCACCAUACCUGGCUAAUUGUGUAUCUUUAGUAGAGAGAGGGUUUCACCUCUUGGUCAGGGUGGUCUUGAACUCCUGACCUCAAGUGAUCUGCCUGCCUCGGCCUCCCAAAGUGCUGGGAUUACAGACGUGGGCCACGGCGCCCUGCCCAGUAUUAACUUUAUUUUAUUCUUUAGGUUGUUAACAUGUGUAUCUAUUACUUUAACACUUAGAAUAUAUUUAGAUGGUUUUAGAAUGUAUUGGAAUAAAUCAGAAUAAAAUGUUGACAGUUUGUCUCUGGAAAGUGAAAUUGUAUUUCCCCCCUUCUUUUUGCUUUAUCUUUUGUGUUAUGAGUAUUUAUUUACUUUUUCAUAGAAGCAUUUGUUUAUGUUGAAAAAAUGAGCAACUCUUCCACUUUUCUUCAUCUUGGAGAAAGUUAAGUUCAAACUCUGUAUUAUCAAGAGGCAAGAGUGGGUAGUGGCUAUCAGUGUGGUUCAAACCUUACUAGCCAUGUGAUGUUGGGCAAGUUAUGUAACUUUGUGGUGCUUCUGUUUCUUAUCUGUACAAUGUAGACAUGAAAUGUUGUACCUGCUGAUUAAUGGCUAUUCUGAGGAUGACACGAGGGAAUCUAUAGUAAAUGUGCGGAAUGGUGUCUGGCUUGUGGCAAACUCUCUGCAAGUGCUUACUAUUUUAUUGCUUUGGCUCCAGGAUAAUCUUCCAAAUGUCUCUUUCUGCACUUGCUUUCUGAACUGUUUGCUGUUCUUCCUACGCAGAUUUUAUUGUCCCACUUUUCCCUUCUCUCUCAAUCUCUUCAUUUCCCAAUCAAAUUCUUCCUUCUAGGUCUAGCUCAUGUACCACUUCUCCAUGUAGCUUUCCCUGAUCUGCCCAGCUAGAAGUACCUUCUCUUUCUUUUAUACGCCAUACCUUUCAUCUAUGCCAUGAGUCUUAUGGCACUUCAUACUUCUGAUGUGGGAUACUAUUUUUUCCAAUUAGGUCAGAUGUUACUGGAGAACGGAGUAUUUUAAAUUACCUGGCAGAAAGUAAGUACCCCCAAAAUGUUUUAAAAUAUAAAUAAACAAGUUAAAGAAGAAAAGUACAAGCAAUGUUGUAUCUUAGUUAAAAUAAAAGACUCAGUAGUCUUUCCCUCUCUGGUAAAAUUGCUAUUAUGCUGGUUUCUCUUGUUUCUUUCUUACAAUAGUCUGGGAUAAGACUUAGAAGGGGCCUUAAUAAUAAACCAUGUUUUCCAAUUACAAUAAAUCUUCUGUGGCUCAGUGCUGGGGCUCAUUAGAGUAAGUUCCUUUUGUUUAUUGAACAAAGACCAGAGUUUUUUUUUUUUUACUACAAUGCUGCCUCAUUUCUUCAUGACAUUUGAUCCAGUUCAAUUGUUGCAGAAAGACCCUAUUUACUAAUAGCAGAAUUUUUUAUUGUUUCUAUAGGUGGCGCUAGCUGUGCAUGUUAAAGUCACAAAUCAGGCUGAAAAUGAACCUUGCCUAGAAAUAAUCGAAUGUCCAUUUGCUUUUCAUUCUUUCUCUUAAGCUUUUUUCUUCUUUGUAUUUAUUUACUGUUCAAAAAUUUCCCUAAGCAAUGUUCUGCAGAUGCGGCACUCGAAUAGGUCAUUAAAAUCAGGUCCAUUAACAUGGGACCAUUUUUAAUAUCUUUGGAUAAUUCAGGCUUUAAAGAAAAGAAAAUAUUAAUAAUGAAAAACCUUAAAUUAUUUAUAGUGAUUUUGAAUCUGUUAUGCUGUAGGAUUAAUUUGAACAGAUUAUGUCUCGAUCAUUCCUGAUUAAAUGCCGAAUGCUAUUUAUUAAUAUCAAUGGAAGUACGCCUAUUCUAGCAGUUCAUAUUUUAUAUUUCAUGCCUAACCCCCCAUAGCCUUAUUAUACCUCUAAGUAAAAUGCUGACAUUUCUUCCUUCAAUAUUCUUUUUUUGUAUUAUGAGUCUGAGCAUUUAAUGUUAUUAAGUUUAAGGCAGUGUUUUAUGUUUGAAAAAUAAUUUACAGCAGAGACAAAAGGUGAGCAUCUUGUGCUUUGGCCCAUGAGUCCAAGGCCUAAACACACCUGGUAGUAAGCUCAAUGAGACAGAGUAAAUCAGAGGCAGUGUUCUCUGCUUCUCUUUCCUUUUUUUUUUUUUUUUUUUUUUUUGAGAUGGAGUUUUCCUCUCAUUCCCCAGGCUGGAGUGCAAUGGCGUGAUCUUGGCUCACUGCAACCUCUGCCUCCUGGGUUCAAGUGAUUCUCCUGCCUCAGCCUCCCUGAGUAGCUGGGAUUACAGGCACAUGCCACCAUGCCCAGCUAAUUUUUGUAUUUUUAGUAGAGACAGGGUUUCACUAUGUUGGCUAGGCUGGUCUCGAACUUCUGACCUCAAGUGAUCCACCCUCCUCGGCCUCCCAGACUGUUGGGAUUACAGGCGUGAGCCACUGCACCCAACCUCUGCUUCACUUUUCAAAACAUAUUCCCCAGGGUUCUUGACACACACACACACACACACAUGAUCAACAUUGUCUAUGUGUAAGAAGUUGAUCAGAGGAAUUGCAGUGGAUACAUGGAGAGAAGUGCAGCCUAUAUAGACAGUAUGGCACUGACUGUGGGGAAAGUGAAUAACGUUUCUAGAGGUAAGGAUGUCUUCAUGGGAGUGCGACCUGUGCAGUCACCUAGAGCCCUCUGCUUAGAACUCUGUGCUUGAUUUAAUGCUCUGUUUUUGCUGUCUUGAAAUUUGUAAUUUUUUAAAACAUUUUUGUUUUGUGCUGAGCCCUUCAAAUCAUGUAUCUUGCCCUAUUUAUAGGUUUAAUGGCUUUAAAAACAAGCUGCAGGGCUAAAGAAUUAUAAUAUAAUAUUAAAAUAAUAGAAUUAUUAUUAAAAAUGUUAUAAAGAAUUAGGCUACAUUAAAGAAUUGUAAUAGAAUUAUCCUAUGUGACUAUCUUGAAGGCUUUGAGAUUGAGUGAAACAGAGAUUCAAUAAGAAAUUCCUUGGAAAUGACCCCAGCACAUUGUCAGUGGGCCAUGGGGCAGCUUUCCCUGUAAAGCCUCAGCGUAAGGCAGCUGAAAACUCUGCUGCCAGCAUUUGCUCACCCAGAUUUCAAAACGCACAAUCAGCAUGCUCAUUCUGACAACUUUUUUGUUAAGGAUUUUUGACACUUUUCCAGAAAUACUCAUAUCACUUCCCAUCGCAUUCAUUUCCUGUGUGGAUGUUGCACAGAACAUAUUUUCUGAUAGGUGGAGUGCAUUUCCUUGCCAGGCCUGCUAAGUAAGACAAUUAGCAAAGAUAGAAUCAAGUCACCUAUAUAUUUAGCCUAGUGCAGUGGCAACAAACCUAUAAUUGCAUUAGUAAAUAGGGUGGUUUUAAAAUUUGAAGCUGAAACUCAUAACUACAUUCUUGGCACCCUUUUGCAGAGGGGGAGAGAGAGAGAGGGAGGACUUUAUCAGCUGUUCACAUGGCUGUGUUCAUCAGCAGAAAAUAAAUGAGUCUGUGCUUAAUACAAAUUCUCCUUGCAGCGAGCUUGCACUGAAGUUUUUAAAAUUAGUUCUGGGGGAGAAAUCUGAGCCUGCCAUCAUGGCUUUCCCUCCUGCUAUACAUUCUAGAUGCCUCUCUUGGUAUGUUGUACAGGGUUUGAGGGGCUUAUCUAUUGCAGCUAUUUAUAUUAUCAUAUCUAUUUAAUAAGACAAAUUUUCUGUUACAGCCUUUAUAAUAAGCAUUUUAACAGCAACACAUGGAGACAGCAUUCAUAUCACCAUGGACUUGGCUCAGCAGAUUUUCUGAGAACACUUGAAUAUUUAGCAUGUUGGGUUUCUUGAGCCUUGUCCUUGAAAGAAACUAGAAUAAUAUUUAGAUCUAAAUCCCUUUAUGUAGAAGCACUUAUGUUCAUUCAUUUAUUAUCCAUUUGCUACUUAUUCUUGGUUCUUGCUUUAGAAAUAAAUAUAAAUUUGAAGUUUGAAGAUUUAUACCGGGCAAAGGCUCUAAGGUUGAGGUCAGUGAUAGUUGGAGUUAAAAGAGAUCUUAACAUUCUCUUGUGUGGCCCUUCCAGAAAAAGGAAGGAGUUUAUUCAAAGUUAACAGAUUAAUUAGUAUCCACUUUAAAUAUCUAGCCUCCUUUGAGGCUAUUUUCAAGGAAAGAAGUCAUCAUGUAUCUCAGAACUACCAAGCUUAGAGUAGAUGGGAGCCAUACAGCUUGCACACUAACCACAACAUUCGAAUUAUUAAGACAGUGGGGAAGCAGCAUUUGCUUCCUCCUGCCAGGUUGUGAGUGCCCAUGAGCCAGGGCCUCUGAGAAGUAGAGCUGAGCUUUUGCUCUGAAGGGCUAAUGACAAAGACUGUUUGGGAUGUGAUGUGGUUUGGCUGUGUUGCCACCCAAAUUUCAUCUUGAAUUGUGGUUCCCAUAAUCCCCACUUCUCAUGGGAGGGACCCAGUGGGAGGUCAUUGAAUCAUGGGGGCAGUUACCCCCAUGCUGUUCUGAUAGUAAGUGAGUUCUCACGGGAUCUGAUGGGUUUUUAUUUUUUUGGAGAUGGAGUUUUGCUCUUGUUGCCCAGGCUGGAGUGCAGUGGUGUGAUCUCGGCUCACUGCAACCUUCACCUCCCGGGUUCAAGGGAUUCUUCUGCCUCAGCGUCUGGAGUAGCUGGGAUUACAGGCAUGCUCCACCAUGCCUGGCUAAUUUUGUAUUAUUAGUAGAGACGGGUUUCUCCAUGUUGGUUAGGGGGGUCUCGAACUCCCGACCUCAGGUGACCUGCCCGCCUCGGCCUCCCAAAGUGCUGGGAUUACAGGUGUGAGCCACUGUGCCUGGCCUGUGUUUUUUUUUUUUUUUUUUUUUUUUUUUUUUUUUUUUUGAGGCGGAUUCUUGCUCUGUCACCCAGGUUGGAGUGCAGUGGUGUGAUCUCGGCUCAUUGCAAUCUCCGCCUCCCAGGUUCAAGCGAUUCUCCUGCCUCAGCCUUCUGAGUAGCUGGACUACAGGCACCCACCACUACACCUGGCUAAUUUUUUACUUUUGGUGGAGACGGGGUUUUACCAUAUUGGCCAGGCUGGUCUCAAACUCCUGACCUUGUGAUCCGCCGAUCUGAUGGUUUCAUAAGGGGCUUUCCUCCUUUGCUCGGCACUUCUCUCUCCUGCCACCUUGUGAAGAAGGACAGGUUUUCUUCCCCUUCUGCCAUGAUUGUAAGUUUCCUGAAGCCUCCACAGGCAUGUGGAACUGUGAGUCAAUUAAGCCUCUUUCCUUUAUAAAUUACCCAGUCUUGGGUGUUUUUUCAUAGCAGUGUGAGAAUGAACUAAUAUAGGAAGAAUCAGAUCUCUGCAUCAUUUUACCAGAAAUCAAUUCUUUAUCUUGCAAUUUCUGCAGGAGAUCAUGGUAUUUAAUUAUAAUUUUAUAUAGUUUGAGGUCAGUAAAGCACUGCUGAUACAAUCGUUGUUUUACAACAGUUUAGGAUUGAACUGAAUCAACUGAAGGAUAGACUUCAGUUAAUUUCAGAUGUAACAUAGCAAACAUUUAUAACGUAAAAACUGGGAGAAAAACCAGUUUGUUCCUUUGUAGAUGUGUGGGGAUAGUGGUGAGAAUUUAUGGAUUAAGAUUUUCUUUCUUAUUUGGAGUUCCAUUAAUGUAAGGUAAAAUGCUGUCCUUAUGGUAAAGCAAUUCAUUUGCUAUUUUUGUAGUCUCAUUUAAAAAAGAAUGUUUAAAAUAGGUGAACAUGGUGGCACAUGCCUGUAUUCCCAGCCACUUGGGGCUGACACAGGAGGAUCUCUUGAACCCAGGACUUUGAGGUUACAGUGAGCUAAGAUCGCACUACAGUAGCAACAGUAGUGGGCAGCAGAGUGAGACCUGGGCAACAGAAUGAGACCUUGUCAGUAAAAAAAGUACAAAACAUUUUAAAAAUUAAAAAAUUUAAAAUAAUAAAGGCCAUAUGGAAAUAUUUGGGUAGUAAUUGUCAAAUAAAAUGAAUAUUUCUAUAGAAAUAUGCACCAGAAGUUUAUUCUUCUUUUUAGGACAGUGCCCAGAUCCUGUUGGAUUUUUUGUUGUUGUUGUUGUUCCCUCUUCAGUUUUUUAUUACAAUAUUGUAGGGUCAGAGGAAGCAGCUCAUCAUUUGGUUUAAUCUUUUUCCUAGAAAGGAUGCUGCCCAUAGCUGGGGCUCCCAGUGAGUGACCAGGAUUAUCCUAGAAACUUGUAAGAAUUAAAAAUGUGCUACAGAAGCAAAAACAAAACAAAACAACCUAUAAUUUCAGUGGUCAGAGAUAAGCACUGUUAAUACAAUGGAUAUAUACUUCUAGAACUUAUUCUAUUAAUGUAGGCUAAUCCCUGUUUAUCUCUCUUUCUUUCAUUUAUCUAUCUUUAAGUUCCCCCAACAAAUAUGUAUCCAUAAAGUAAUUUUACUGCCUUCAGGACAGUUGUCUUUUUCAUGUACACUUCUGUGCUCCUCCUGAGAGAGGGGCUUAGAACUAAACCGUCUCCUGGUCCAUCCCCCACAAUUUCUGUUUUUUUUUUUUUUUUUUGGUUUGUUUGAAUGUUUGCCUGCCUGGGAACUGCCAGCCGUGCCCAUCCAAAUCUGCAAAUCUUCCUCUAGACUUUGGGAGACAGAAAAGUAGCUCCUACUUCAAGAGGUUAGAAUCCUCAGAUGUGGCACUUUCAAGGAAAAGGGUUGUUUACCUGAGUGAUAAGAAUAUCUGGAGGAGAGCUCAUCACUAGUCGGUGUGUAGUUGCUGUGACUCCGUCUGUCCUGGCAAUUUCUAAUCUGGUCCUGCCUGUGAAUUGCAGAGUGCUCCACGGUGUUCUCCAGCACCCCGUGAAGAAAAGCCUGUGAUGGGAUUGCAGUUCGUUCUGUCUUGCUAUGAUUGCUUGUCUGUUCCUGUGGCUUCUAGUGGCUCUUUUCCUUGCUGGAGUAAGAAGUUUCCUUUUUUGCUACUUCAACUUGCUAUUUCUUAAAAAAUAAAUAAAUAGAGGGCAUCCUUUACUUCUACAAGCAAGAAAUAGAGGAGAGAGAGCUCAGGAGAUUGAGAAAUAGAGAAUUUCCCUUAACAUUCAUUACUUUUAUUUCAGAACUUUCAGUCACCUCUGGGUCCAUCUAUCUGUACUCUCUUUUUUUCUGCUGUCUCUUCUAAAGUAUUAGCUUAUACAGGUUUCAGGAAAGAACUUGGGAAUCCAAAAGUCAAUAGAAUUCAAAGAAUUGUCAACAUACUUAUGUACAAUAACCAAUCUCAAUCAACCUCAAAUGAACAGGGCUAAAACUUGUCUAUAAAGAAAAGCUAUUUCAACUGUUCGCCAAAUUAUAAGUCUAUGAGUCAUUUUAUUUGCCAUCUUCACAGAUACCAUGUAUUAAAGUCAUUCACCUACUGGGAAUAUUUUUGAAAAAAUUUAUUCUCUCAUGGGAAAUUACAAAAAAUUUAGAAUCGCACAUUUUAACUACUGAAUAUUAAUGCAACCUUUCCUAACUACUAGUAGAAGAAUCAAAUCCCUGUUGCAAUUAAGGAGUUGGACCAGCCUCUUUCACAUGCACAAGUAAUUUCUUCACUAUGGUAUUCAUUUUUACUUCAGGAUUUAGACAGGAUUGUAAUGGGACCAAUGCAAGCAGAACUAUGUACUUUGUAAAUGUGCAUAAAUGUGCCCAUCUUUGGCUUUAUGAGAAUUGAUUGUAGUGUUUACAUUUGAGAUGAAUGAGUUCAGAGUCCUUCAUUCCAUUUGUGACAUAUACCAUUAUACGGUGUUAUUUUCUGUUAAAAGAUUCAGUUAAGCUGAUGGUAAAAUUGAGUUGACUACCUUGACUUAGCUAUGGCAUGUCAAAUGUCAUAACUUGGGAGCCCAAUGAGUGGAUAGGGAUUAUACUGAUUCUAUUAAGACCAGUGAUUUUGGAAUCAGGAAACUUGGAUUUUAGUCCUGUGUCUAUUUUUUAAAGUUUUUUUUAGGGGUGGGUGGGCAAUCUUUCCUUUAUUUUUUAAUUUUUUAUUUUUUUUGGAGACAGAGUCUUGCUCUAUCCCCCAGGCUGGAGUGCAGUGGCAUGAUCUUGGCUCACUGCAAUUUUCACCUCCUGGUUCAAGCGAUCCUCAUGCCUCAGCCUCCUGAGUAGCUAGGAUUACAGGCACCUGCCACCACGCCCAGCUAAUUUUUGUAUUUUCAGUAGAGAUGGAGUUUCGCCGUGUUGGUCUCAAACUGCUGACUUCGGGUGAUCCACCCACCUCAGCCUCCCAAAGUGCUGGGAUUACAGGCAUGAGCCACUGCACCCAGCCCCUUUAUUCUUUUUUUUUUUUUUUGCCUUUAUUAUUAUUUCUAAUUGUUACAUAAUAAUUGUAUACACUUAUGGGGGACAGCAUGAUAUUUCUAUACGUUAUACUAUGUGUUAUGGUCAAAUCAGGGCAAUUAGCAUAUCAUCAUAUGUCUAUUAACAACAAAAUUAGACAGUUGUGUUUGGGCCGCGUGUGUGUGUGUGUGUGUGCGUGCGUGCACAGAUGUGUGUGUGUGUUUAUUAAAAAAAUGAUAUAAGUUUCUAUGUUCUGAAUGUUAGUGUGCCCCCCAGAUUCAUAUGUUGGAACCUAAUACCCAAUGUGAUAGUAUUGAAAGCUGGCACAUUUUGGGAAGUGAUUAAGUUAUGAGGGCUCAGCCCUUAUGAGUGGGAUUAGUACCCUUACAAAAGAGGCUGAAGGGAGCUGCUUUCCACCUUUCACCCUUCGAGGACACAGCACCAAGGUGCCAUCUUUGAGGCAGAGAUCUGGCCCUCACCAGACGCUGGAUCUGCUGGUGUCAUGAUCUUGGAUUUCAUGGCCCCCAGAAUUGUAAGUACUAAAUUCCUGUUGUUCAUAAAUUACCCAGUAUAAUAUAUUUUGUUAUAACAGCAGAAACAGAGUAAGACACAAGGUAAGAAGUUUAACAUAGCUAAAACAUUGCAACUGUGAGCAAGGGAUAGAAGAUAGCACUGGACAAGUAGAUCAGAUCAUGAAGGAUAUUAUAUGUUAUGCUAAGGAAAUUGGAUUUGAUUCUAUAGGUAUUGGGGACACUAAUUUUUAAAAAUGUCUUAGUUUGAAAUAACUUUAGACUUAGACUUACAUAAGAGAUGCAAAAAUGUAUAGAAUCCCUAUUAGUAUACUAUCUACCCAGCUUCCUCUAAUUUCAACAUUAUACAUAACCACAUUAUAAUGAACAAAACAAAAAAAUUAACAUUGGUAUAAUACCUAAAUACCUAAUAACUAAACUACAGACUUUAUUCAGAUUCUCACCAGUUUUCCCACUAAGGUUCUUUUUCUCUUCCAGGAUCGAAGCCAGAAUAUCAGAUUGAAUUUAGUUGUCAGGUCUCCAUACUAUUCUCUAAUCUGUGACAGUUUUUCAGCCCUUUUAUGGCUUUCUUCACCUUCAAAUGUUUGAAAAGUACUGUUCAGAUAUGUUGUAGCAUGUCCUUCAAUUUGGGUUUGUCUGAAGUUUUCUCAUGAUUAGAUUGAGGUUAUAAUUUAUGUUAGUCUGUACUUGCGUUACUAUAAAGGAAUACCUGACACUGGGUAAUUUAUAACAAAAAGAGGUUAAAUUGGCUCACAGUUCUGCGGGCUGUACAGCAAGCAUGUUUUUUGGUGAGGCCUCAGGAAGAUUUCACUCAUGGUGGAAGGUGAAACGGGAGCUUGCAUGUCACAUGGCAAAGCAGGAGCAAGAGAGAAAGAGUGAGGGGGGAGGUGUGACACACUUUUAAAUGACCAGAUUGUGUGAGAACUCACUAUCAUGCAGACAGCACCAAGCUAUAGAGUCCUAUGGGAAGUAAAACAGAGACUGUGUGUAUAGACAAUACUAUCAGUGGGUUUGAAGGAACCGAGAAAGAGAUAAGAAGGUAGGAUGGAAGAAGACCCAAGUUAGGAGGUCCUUAUUACAUCCUCUCCCCUCAUCAUGCUCAUAAACUAUGGUUGUAAGUAUAUUAUUUGGUAAGUAUGUGUCUUAGUCUGUUUUAUGCUGCUAUAAAAAAACACCACAGACUGGGUAAUUUAUUUUUAAAAAAUUAUUUCUUACAGUUCUGGAGGCUGGGAAGUUCAAAGUCAAAGGGCUGCAUCUGGAGAGGGCCUUUGUGACGCCAUCCCAUGGUGGAAGUCCAGAAGCCACUGGGAUUCCUGGAGUGUUUUCGGAGCAGUGAGUACCACAGACUUUAGCAAGCACACUGGAUGAGAAUCCAACAGUGACCUUGCUUGAGGAAGAUGAACAACGCUUCAGACAGCAUGUCAAAUAGAUUCAAGUUUUAAGAAAUCAGGAAGAAACCAUCUUGGAAAACAAAUAUUGAAGUUUUGACUCUAUAGAGCCAAUGGAUGUGGACCCUGGACUUAGAAAGAGAUUUGUAAACAAACCAGAGAACACCGAAGAGCUGCUCCUUCGCACUGAAAUGGUUUGCUGGCUUUCUGCCUAGAUCCGACAUCUCUUCAAAUGGACAGUCCCAACUCUCCUUCUCUCACUUCUCUUCCCCCUUCUCUGUAAGUCACAAAUGCUGCAUUUGGAGGAACUUCAUUUUAACUAGGAUAAACAUCACAUAAUAAAUGAUGCAUUUUUUCUCAUAAAGCAAACCAUUUAUCAAUGUUUUUAGUAAUUGUUUGUGUUGGAGCCCUUGGUGGAAGUCUUAUGAUCUAUAGUGUCCAUUGAGGCUUCCAUUUAAAGGGGGGCAGAGACAAUGCCAAAGUUGAUACAAGGGAUGAUGGGGAGAUAAGCUCUCGAGGCCUAUAUAUUAUCCGCCCGCAGUGUUGGGAGGGCCACAGGAAGGAUGGUGAUUAUUCUAUUUGGCAAGCCAAUUGUCUGUCUUUGGAAAAUGAUAGGAUGAAGAGUGGAGUCAAAAAUAAUACCUUUCUCGAUGCCCAGAUAUAAAUGAGCUAUUUACAAUCCCUCCUGCCUUUUAGGUUUGGGUUUUAUUUUUCCUCUGCACAAUAGAUUAAACCUUCAAGGAGGUUUGUAGUAAAAGAGGAGGAAACUAUGAAAAACACCACAUACUUGCAGACACCUGCAAGCA